UCGGGGUGUAGCGUAGCUUGGCUAGCGCGCCUGAUUUGGGAUCAGGAGGUCGCAGGUUCAAAUCCUGUCACCCCGAGCC
rnacentral:tRNA from 2 species